ensembl:lncRNA
CAGCUAUCAGCACCAUGAGGAUCUUCUUGCUGUUGCUUCUGACCAUCGUGAUGGUUACUGUAGCAUUACAUGUACCACGUGUAUCAGACAAAUGUAAGGUUCAGCGUGCACUUUUAAAAGAAAUCAUUGACAGCGUGAACAAAUUUAAACAGAGUUGUCCGAUUUAUGUUGAAGAUGUGAUAUCCAAUAACUGCACUCAUGAGAACUUCUGCAAAGCAGGGGUAGUUCUGUCUAAGUAUAAAGCACAAGAACUUGGACUGAAGGAAAAAGACUGGCGGCUUCACAGGCUGCUGUCAUCCUACACCGAGAAUAUCAAAUGCGAAGUUAACUCUUCAUCGGCUAACCAAGUUGAGCUUCACCACUUUCUGCAAGAAAUAAGACAGUGUGCUCAAUAUCAUUACAGACAAUUAUGUAACUUCUACUCUAUGCAUUAAGAUUUAUGGAUGCAGUAUUUAUAUGAAUGUAUCAUCUGUUCUAA